CCCGUCACACCAAGGGAGUGGGUUGCUCCAGAAGUAGCUAGUCUAACCGCAAGGGGGACGGUUACCACGGAGUGAUUCAUGAGUGGGGUGAAGUAGUAACAAGGUAGCAGUAGGGGAACCUGCGGCUGGAUCACCUCCUU
rnacentral:rRNA from 1 species